GUGCUCACUUCAGCAGCACAUACACUAAAACUGGAACAAUACAGAGAAGAUUAGCAUGGCCUCUGCACAAAGAUGACAUGCAAAUUUGUGAAGCGUCCCAAAUUUUU